GCAGGACAGUGGUGCUAAUUGAGUGAGAAAACAUAAUGCAGGGAGCUGUUGUCUGCAGCUGGGGCGGGGGUGACUAAGUGGCCCACCAUUGUUGGUGUCAGGCAGGCAGAUGUUGCGUUCUGUUGAUAACUGCACUGACAUCGCCGGAGCUUGUCACCGCAGCUUCUGCCCAGAGACUCUCGGCUCUGGCGGCAGAUGGCUCUGCUGAAUGGCCACGGAGGGUCCCAGCGGCCAGCCCGGCGUGUGGAAGAGAACUUGAACACUGGUCUCCACGGUGACCCUGGACAGACACCGCAGCAGAAGACAGGGGCUUCCGAGGCCCCUGCACAGCCACAGGACUGGUAACCAGGGAGCUACUGGGGGCAAGGCUUGAGGAAGACCCUCCCAUCGUGAGCAGCUUGGGUCUGGAUCCUGGAGUUCUGGGAAACAGGUAGAAAUCAACACCUGAGGAUCUGGUGGGCCAGGGACAGUGGUAGGUCCCUUCUUGUCAAACAAAUCUAUGGCUAACAGUAUUCAGGAGACACAUACUGAUGCCGAAGUAUGGGAAACUUGACAAUUUCUCAGUCUGGACCAGAAGUGGCCAUGCAGGCUGAAUCUGCCCAACAGGUCCAGACAUCUGGCAACUCUGGGAGCAGGAGCUGGGCUGCGUCACACUCUUACCAAUCCUAGGAAACCCCAGGGAACUCAGGAUGCCCCUGGAAUACACUCAGCCCUCAUGCUCCCACUUAUCUGAGGGGUGACCUUGAGCUCCCUGGGACAGGGAAGGGCUGGGCCCCCAGAAGAGGGCCAGUGGGUGGUCAAUUUCCAGGUUCCCUGGGUGUUCCAGGUCCUCUUGCUCCUUGUCACCAAGGCAGCAUCAUCUGUGUGAAUGUGACACACCAGGAUGGAUAUUUCAUCUCUCUCGUUCCCGCUGUCUCCCCGGCCCUGGCACACAGUACAGCAGGGGGCUCUCUUCCACUCAUAUAUGCAGCCAACCUCACCAACCUACAAGAUCUCUGUGGCCAUGUGAGUCUGUGGCUCUGCUCUUCCCCUCAAACAACCAUUUUACAAGGGAGAAGACUGAUAUCCCAGCUGUACCUUGCAGGGUGGAGACAGGUGGGAAGUGACCCAGGUCCAAGCCUCCACUGAGCCCCUCAGGCCAGCGAUCACCCCCUCCCCAGCCUCACCAUCCUUCAUGAAGUCCAGACUUUGGGCAUUACCCCAUCCCCCAGGAUAAAGCCAACUCAGGGCCUGACCUGCCCAGAAGGCUCGGGGGUCCAGCCAUGCUGGCAGAGGGCUGAAGAGAGUGGCAGGUGGAGGCUUUGGGGGAAGGGGAGAAGGCUAUGGAAAAGGCCUGGCCGAUCACUUUGAUGUUCAGACCAUGAAACUUCUCAAAUUAUAAGAGAGAAUCACUUUUGAGCCUUUAAGUGGCUCCGGAACAAACCAACUGUCCAAAGAUACAAUGAAAAACCGUCACCAGCUCUCAGUAACAAGGCAGGAAAAAUUGUUUAGUGCUGACAAUGAAUAUUAAAAGCCCCAUCUGUGAAAAACACCCUGGAAAUAUGUCUCAGGAGGAGCCAGGCGAGAGGUGCUGGAGAGGCUGGCCGCCCAGAGGCCCCCACCCAGGGCAGGGCAGGCAGUGGGAGAGGAGACAGGCAGCUGCCAGGAGCUGCAGGUGGCAUCCAUCCGAGAGCAGAGCCAACCCACCUGGGCUACAGGUAGGGAGGUCCUGGGCCCCUGCCCGCACGAGGCAGCCCUGAGAAGGGGAGGCCAGCCCCCCACUUACUGUGCCCUCUGCCAGGGAUGGCAGGAGACAGGAGCUUAUCCCCACCCUCCCACCACAGCCGGGCCCUGCCUGAGAAGAGGUGACCACGCUAGACCCUGCCAGCCCCAGGAGACCCUGAACCAUCCAGCCCCAGCUCUGCCACUUCCUCUUCAGGAGCCUUUGGCCACCUCACCCCUCUGUGGACCUUGGUUUCCUGGACAGGGCUGGGUGGGGCUGAAAGUUCGGGGGAUGCUGCCCCCCAUAGAAAGCAGAGGGGACCGCGUGAAAUGCCCAGGCCUGGACCCCAGGGACAUAGGCCCCUGCUAGGGUCGGGGCAGGAAGAAGGAGGGGGCCAUAAAGGAGAAGCCCCCGGAUACCUUCUGGGCCCAGUAUCCAUAUCCUGGGGCCCUCCUGCCCUGUACCUUGCACGCACCCCUGGCUCCUCCAUGGCUGCCCACCCCGACCACAUCAUCUCUCCCUGCAGCCGUGGCCCCCCCCCCAGCUUGGUGCCUGGUUGGGGUUGGGGGCAGCAGAAGGGGUCUGGCUGCUGCUCAGAACCACCACAGAGGAAGGAGGCCAUAGGUCCCCACGUCCAGGGUGCUAAAAGCUAGUGACACUUGGGCUCCGUCGCACACAGGCCUGCUAAUGACACCUGGGCCACAGGUCUUGAAUGGACACUUGGGAAAGGUGGGCCAGCCGCAUCCCCUGCUCUUAUGCAGGGCCACCCACUGAGGAGGUCCCUCCCAGGCCCAGCUGCUUCUUUGGGCUCUCUGAGGGGUGGUGGAGGGGAGGAGUCCCUGCUCUGCCCGAGUCUGCCUUCCCAGCCCUGGGCAGUGGGGAUCUACAAAGCUGUUUGCAUGAGUGGCAUUUCUCAGCAGCAAUCCCAGGUGGUCCCACAGACCACCCUAUCCCCAGGAGAACCAAGAGCCAGAGAAGGGGCCAGGAAGCUGCAGCAAAGAGGCUGCUGCUCAGGUCACCUGGCAGGGAUGCAGGGGAUUCCAGGCUGAGACCCAGGCUCCUCUCGCUUCUGGACAAGAGGCCCAGAAGCACAGUGCCCUGCCCAGGACCAGAGCCCUCCCCAGCUCUGCAGCCCACUCCCCCCUCUGAGGACCCAGAAGAAGAGGGGCAGGCACCGAGGUUCUGGAGCUCCAGUGCAGGCCAAGCCACCACCUCAUGUUGUCCUCCAGCUGCCUUCCUUGUAAUUAAGAGCAAACUUUGUAGCAAUGUCUCCUUUAGCUGUUGUCUUACCCCGCCUCCCAAAUGAUAAAUUGUUAAUGAGCACCUGUUACAAUGCUAAUGAAAGUGAGAUCCGUAUGUAAAUAAAGAAAAUUUAAUAACUUAACAAGGUGGAUUAAAAUGCCCAACCUCCUCAGCAGCU
ensembl:lncRNA